rnacentral:rRNA from 1 species
GGGUUGUGAGGUUAAGCGACUAAGCGUACACGGUGGAUGCCCUGGCAGUCAGAGGCGAUGAAGGACGUGCUAAUCUGCGAAAAGCGUCGGUAAGGUGAUAUGAACCGUUACAGCCGGCGAUGUCCGAAUGGGGAAACCCAGUGUGAUUCGUCACACUAUCGUUAACUGAAUACAUAGGUUAACGAGGCGAACCGGGGGAACUGAAACAUCUAAGUACCCCGAGGAAAAGAAAUCAACCGAGAUUCCCCCAGUAGCGGCGAGCGAACGGGGAGCAGCCCAGAGUCUGAAUCAGCUUGUGUGUUAGUGGAACGGUCUGGAAAGUCCGACGGUACAGGGUGAUAGUCCCGUACACCAAAAUGCACAGGCUGUGAACUCGAAGAGUAGGGCGGGACACGUGGUAUCCUGUCUGAAUAUGGGGGGACCAUCCUCCAAGGCUAAAUACUCCUGACUGACCGAUAGUGAACCAGUACCGUGAGGGAAAGGCGAAAAGAACCCCGGCGAGGGGAGUGAAAAAGAACCUGAAACCGUGUACGUACAAGCAGUGGGAGCACCUUCGGGUGUGACUGCGUACCUUUUGUAUAAUGGGUCAGCGACUUAUAUUCUGUAGCAAGGUUAACCGUAUAGGGGAGCCGCAGGGAAACCGAGUCUUAACUGGGCGUUAAGUUGCAGGGUAUAGACCCGAAACCCGGUGAUCUAGCCAUGGGCAGGUUGAAGGUUGGGUAACACUAACUGGAGGACCGAACCGACUAAUGUUGAAAAAUUAGCGGAUGACUUGUGGCUGGGGGUGAAAGGCCAAUCAAACCGGGAGAUAGCUGGUUCUCCCCGAAAGCUAUUUAGGUAGCGCCUCGUGAACUCAUCUUCGGGGGUAGAGCACUGUUUCGGCUAGGGGGUCAUCCCGACUUACCAACCCGAUGCAAACUACGAAUACCGAAGAAUGUUAUCACGGGAGACACACGGCGGGUGCUAACGUCCGUCGUGAAGAGGGAAACAACCCAGACCGCCAGCUAAGGUCCCAAAGUCACAGUUAAGUGGGAAACGAUGUGGGAAGGCACAGACAGCCAGGAUGUUGGCUUAGAAGCAGCCAUCAUUUAAAGAAAGCGUAAUAGCUCACUGGUCGAGUCGGCCUGCGCGGAAGAUGUAACGGGGCUAAACUGUGCACCGAAGCUGCGGCAGCGACACUAUGUGUUGUUGGGUAGGGGAGCGUUCUGUAAGCCUGCGAAGGUGGCCUGUGAGGGUUGCUGGAGGUAUCAGAAGUGCGAAUGCUGACAUAAGUAACGAUAAUGCGGGUGAAAAGCCCGCACGCCGGAAGACCAAGGGUUCCUGUCCAACGUUAAUCGGGGCAGGGUGAGUCGACCCCUAAGGCGAGGCCGAAAGGCGUAGUCGAUGGGAAACAGGUUAAUAUUCCUGUACUUGGUGUUACUGCGAAGGGGGGACGGAGAAGGCUAUGUUAGCCGGGCGACGGUUGUCCCGGUUUAAGCAUGUAGGCGGAGGUUCCAGGUAAAUCCGGUACCUUUUUAACGCUGAGGUGUGAUGACGAGGCACUACGGUGCUGAAGUAACAAAUGCCCUGCUUCCAGGAAAAGCCUCUAAGCAUCAGGUAACAUUAAAUCGUACCCCAAACCGACACAGGUGGUCAGGUAGAGAAUACCAAGGCGCUUGAGAGAACUCGGGUGAAGGAACUAGGCAAAAUGGUGCCGUAACUUCGGGAGAAGGCACGCUGAUAUGUAGGUGAAGCCCCUGCGGGUGGAGCUGAAAUCAGUCGAAGAUACCAGCUGGCUGCAACUGUUUAUUAAAAACACAGCACUGUGCAAACACGAAAGUGGACGUAUACGGUGUGACGCCUGCCCGGUGCCGGAAGGUUAAUUGAUGGGGUUAUCCGUAAGGAGAAGCUCUUGAUCGAAGCCCCGGUAAACGGCGGCCGUAACUAUAACGGUCCUAAGGUAGCGAAAUUCCUUGUCGGGUAAGUUCCGACCUGCACGAAUGGCGUAAUGAUGGCCAGGCUGUCUCCACCCGAGACUCAGUGAAAUUGAACUCGCUGUGAAGAUGCAGUGUACCCGCGGCAAGACGGAAAGACCCCGUGAACCUUUACUAUAGCUUGACACUGAACAUUGAGCCUUGAUGUGUAGGAUAGGUGGGAGGCUUUGAAGCGUGGACGCCAGUCUGCGUGGAGCCAACCUUGAAAUACCACCCUUUAAUGUUUGAUGUUCUAACGUUGGCCCCUUAUCGGGGUUGCGGACAGUGUCUGGUGGGUAGUUUGACUGGGGCGGUCUCCUCCCAAAGAGUAACGGAGGAGCACGAAGGUUAGCUAAUCCUGGUCGGACAUCAGGAGGUUAGUGCAAUGGCAUAAGCUAGCUUGACUGCGAGCGUGACGGCGCGAGCAGGUGCGAAAGCAGGUCAUAGUGAUCCGGUGGUUCUGAAUGGAAGGGCCAUCGCUCAACGGAUAAAAGGUACUCCGGGGAUAACAGGCUGAUACCGCCCAAGAGUUCAUAUCGACGGCGGUGUUUGGCACCUCGAUGUCGGCUCAUCACAUCCUGGGGCUGAAGUAGGUCCCAAGGGUAUGGCUGUUCGCCAUUUAAAGUGGUACGCGAGCUGGGUUUAGAACGUCGUGAGACAGUUCGGUCCCUAUCUGCCGUGGGCGCUGGAGAAUUGAGGGGGGCUGCUCCUAGUACGAGAGGACCGGAGUGGACGCAUCACUGGUGUUCGGGUUGUCAUGCCAAUGGCAUUGCCCGGUAGCUAAAUGCGGAAGAGAUAAGUGCUGAAAGCAUCUAAGCACGAAACUUGCCCCGAGAUGAGUUCUCCCUGAGACUUUAAGUCUCCUGAAGGAACGUUAAAGACGAUGACGUUGAUAGGUCGGGUGUGUAAGCGUAGCGAUACGUUGAGCUAACCGAUACUAAUGAACCGUGAGGCUUAACCUUACAACGCCGAAG